rnacentral:rRNA from 1 species
AAACUUUCAACAACGGAUCUCUUGGCUCUGGCAUCGAUGAAGAACGCAGCGAAAUGCGAUAAGUAAUGUGAAUUGCAGAAUUUAGUGAAUCAUCGAAUCUUUGAACGCACAUUGCGCCCCUUGGUAUUCCGAGGGGCAUGCCUGUCCGAGCGUCAUUA